UAGAAGAGGCUGUACAAAAACCUGAACACAGAUAUGUGACUACUCUUCAAAGAGGAGGGAAGUGGUAUUCAAACCACAGCUUCAUAUCAGAUGGAUUCUGCUCAUUCCUGUUCCAUCAGAGUCACUGUGGUUACAGCUGCUAAUGAAACACUGUGGGAGGAUUCACAUGAGCAGCAAAUCCACAUCACUGACAAACCACUGUGGGCCAUUCAGGCUCAAUCAGCUCCUUCCAUUGUUUAAUAUCCUUGGCAACAUGUUGGGCUCCAUCUGAAACAGACACUAAAGCACUGACUAAUAAACACUAACUGUGUACAAGCCAUAACAAAGACUGACUGCUGCAUUAUUUCUGACUGACACACAGGGCUGUGAAUGAGCCCUGUCACUGUGAUCAGGCUCCUCCUUCUAAUCCACCAACUUAGUGUUGAUGAAGACCAAACAGAGAGAUCACAGCCUUCUUUAUACUCGCUGGAGCUCACAGUUACUCAGCACUGCAGACAUGACGCCUCUGUUCACCUCACUGUUGCUGGCUGCUAUGUGCUUUGAAUGCAGAGCACAGAAAGACAACGUGCUGCAACCAAAAGAAGAUGUGACUGCUGCUGAAGGAGAGGCAGUAACACUUGGCUGUCAAUAUAACAGCAGCUCAAAUGGUCCAACUCUCUUCUGGUACAAACAGGAGGGAAACAACAGCCCCAAAUUCAUACUGAGCCGCUUUUCAGAGAGUUCAGGGAACACACCAGACGAGUUCAAGGAGAGGUUUUCAUCCACACUGGAUUCCACCUUAAGAUCAGGUCCUCUGAAGAUCCAGAAGCUUCAGCUGUCUGACUCUGCUGUGUACUACUGUGCUCUGAGGCCCACAGUGACAGGAAACACCAAAACUCUGUACAAAAACCUUUGGAGCAAAGACAACAGAAUACUCCACAACAUCCACUAGAGGGAGUCACACACUGUUACACUGCAGUGGGAUGUGAUGGUAAAGUCCAGAUUGUUUGCAGUGGUUGUAACAAUGAUGGAUAACUAUGACCCUCAACAAUCACCUCCACCAGGCCAAAAGUCCAAUCU